rnacentral:lncRNA from 10 species
UUUAAAAACUCUGUUGCUACUGGUGGAAGAGGGAAGAUCAGAGACAUCUGACAACUUGUCUGAGAUCAUGUCAAAUUUGGCAGGGAAGAGCCUAGAACCCAGAGUUACUGAUUUACAAGGUUUAGCAGGGUAAAAUGGAUGGAAGAAAGAGGAGACUAGCAGAGACAAAUUAACAUGAAGCCACUAGAACGAUUUAAAGGAAUAGCCAGUACGGGGACAAAGAUGGCUACCACAGCUAUGGCCAUCUGGA